UACAGGGGGUGCAAACGUUGCUCGGAAUUACUGGGCGUAAAGGGCUCGUAGGCGGCCAACUAAGUCAAACGUGAAAUCCCUCGGCUUAACCGGGGAACUGCGUCUGAUACUGGAUGGCUUGAGUUUGGGAGAGGGAUGCGGAAUUCCAGGUGUAGCGGUGAAAUGCGUAGAUAUCUGGAGGAACACCGGUGGCGAAGGCGGCAUCCUGGACCAACACUGACGCUGAGGAGCGAAAGCCAGGGGAGCAAACGGG
rnacentral:rRNA from 1 species